UAACGUAUGAGAAAAACGCGAUGAGGAUUAUUGAGCAAUCAAUAAUUAUUAUUUCAGAUUAUAACUGACUUAGCAAAGUCAUGUUAUUUAUUAAGUGCAAUAGAAAUAUUAUUUCUAUUAUUUACUUGAAGUCGUGAUUAAUUUUCGACUUAUAAAACGAGUUAUAUAAUAUGUAAUUCGUAGAGAGUUAUAACGAAGCUUCGUUAUAUGGGAACCCGAAAUUAGUAUUACAAAUACAGAAUGAGGAUUUUAUAAUAAUUACAUCACAACUUUACAACUUAUUAUUCCCUACAUCCCUAUUUCAUACCUACUUCAUCAAGAAGGCAAACCAAACGUGUACUAGGUGUGUGCAGAAUAGCUUUACAGCAAUUUUACCACCUAGAGAGUUUUUUUUUAAGCCACCCUACGACAGCACCAUCCACUCCACCAAACUUCCCACCACUCUUUGCUCCCCACCAUCUUCAAUUCUUUAAGACUACUAGUUCCUUCAACCACCAAAGGGAGGAGAAUUCAAUUACUGCUGCCAAACUUCGAACAGGUAAGGUUUGGUUUAAGUUUUUCCACCAGUCCAUUCUUGAUUCCUCUGCAUAUGUCAAUAAGCAUCUGAAAAUUUCAGCUAUCUCCUCAUUGAAUUCAAUAGCAACAAACAGCCACCAACACCAAGCAUAGCAGGUAUAUACUUAGCUCAGCUCCAGUUCAUACAUCAUAUCAUCAAGCAUAUGUUUAAAAAGGAAAUACAUAGUAUACAGGUGUGUAUAUAUAUGCACACAGGGACUUAGCAAUCGAAAUCAGUUUAUGCUAUAUUUUCUUAUCACACGAGGCAAGCAAGGAAAAUUCUUGAUACAUUAGUAAACCACGAACUUAGUUUUAUCUCUUGCAUAAUACAGAAAUCAGUAUAUAUUUUCUUCACUUAAGAUAAAGGCAAUGAGAAAACUCUCAUAAAUCAGUAGCAAAAACCAAGACUCCACAUAGACUUAAGUAUUGAACUUAGCUGUAGAAGGGCUGACUGCCCGACGGGGACGGGGACGACGACGACGGUCGGGACAGGGCGAACUCGUCCAACCUCAUCAGAGCCCCGAACAGCAGCUGCCCGGCGACGAGCUGAGACUCGUGCGCAGCAGCAGCGGUCGCUCGACAGUUGCGUUUUUCCCUUUUUCUGAGAACUAGGGCCCAACGACGGAAGGAGCGGUGGUGGCUGGGGCUGCUAUCGCCGGAUUUACAAAACGCCGCGGCGCUGAGCGGGGAGAGAGGGAGAGGCGGUUCAAAAUCGGAGAGGAAAUUAGGGCUUCUGCUGCCCCUUCAUUGGGUUGAGAAGAACAGCCGACGCAGCCACGAACGAGACGCAACCGCUCUGUUCGACCGGUACCGAGCCCGAGCAGCAGCAACUCUAGUCGGCGAUGGCUCCAGAAGACAGCAGCCGUCGGAUUUCAGAAGGGGAGAGAGAGACGGCCACGACCGGCGCCGACCGCUCGCCGGAUUCCAUACGGAGGUGCGGCAGCUGCGAUUUACCAGGAGAAGUUAGGGCUUGAUUUUGAACUCUGCGUGCAGAUUGAGGAAGAGAGAUGACGUCGCCGGUCGAAGCCAACCGAAGCAGAUGACGGCUGGAGUCUCGGCGGCGGACGCCUCGUGUGAAGGCGAGUCGAGAGUGAGAGGGAGAAGAGGCGUGCGGCUGGUUUGAGAGAGGGGAGUGUCGGCUGUGAUUGAGGUAAAGGAGAGAUGGGAGAGAGAGAAGGACCGAGAGUCUAAAGAGAGAGAGUUUGGGCUGCAAUUCUUUUCUUUUGGGCCGAAUUCUUUUAAGCUUGGGCCUUAUUCUUUAUUUUGCUGAUGGGCUCUAAUUGUUUAAAGAAUUUGGGCUUAUUCCUUUUUAAAAUUUUGGGCUGAGAAUUGUUUUAAUGGUUUUGGGCUUCCAUAUAAUAAUUUCGAACUGGGCCGAAUUAAAUCAUCUGGGCCGUGUUAUUUCUUUAUGUUGGGCCGAGUCUUGGGCCGAUUUUUAAUAAAAGAUUGGGCUUUCAUUUAAAUUCGAACUGGGCCAGUCUUUUAUUUAAUUGGCCCUUCUUAUUAAUCCUAUUGGGCUCGAUUUAAUUAAGGAGUUGGGCUGAUGCAUAUUUUAUGAUGGGCUAUUAUUCUAGUCCCAUUUAUAUUUCGUUGGGCCAAUUUAAUUCAUCAUUUUGGCCGAUUAAAUUGCCUUUUUGGGCUAAGAUUAAUUCUUUUCAAUCCACAUUAAUUAUUAUUUGGACCCCUAUUUUAAUUAUUUUGGGUCGAAGACUUUUUAAGUUGGGCUUUAAUUCUUUUAAAGCUUGAGCUGAAGUUACUCCUUUGGCUAAGCCUAGCAGUAUCAAAUUUUGAUGGAGCCCAAUUAUUUAUCAGUGGGUGAGCCGAUUCGUAUUCAGUAAAUGAGCCGCCUAGUUUAUUAAAUAUUGUUUUUGGACUUCAGAAUUUAAAGCAAGCCAUUACUGUUUAUUUCAUUAGCCACUGUUUUAUUUAAUUAAUUGGCUACUCUCUUUUGAGCCUAUUAAUUAUUUGAGGCUACAUUAGUAAUGAUAUUUCUAUCGAAAAGCCCGAUAAUUUCUACAAGGUCACACCUCGAUUGAAGCCGAGUUAGUUCUUUUAUUUUGAUCAAAUACAAGGCGGGAUUUAUUUUACAAUGAGAAUUUUCCGAUGGGAAAAGAAGGAUCACAACUUUAUUCGAACACGCUAGACGAGAAUUAGCUAAAUCUAUUAACGAGGAUUAAUAGUAGAAUUUCCGACUAUCGCUCAGAAGAUUAGUUCAUGCAUACAAGAUUCAUGCAUAGUUACAAUUACGCUUUCCCAUUAAUUAAGAAUUUUCCUCGAGGCAAUGUCUUAUUUUAUAUUCUCGUGAUUAAGGUCAAGCACGAGAGUAAGAACUAUUCAAGGAGUCACAGUACCUUAGCAAAACUUUGCUAUCAGGUUGAGCUGUGAUGGGCGAUGAAGUGUUGUUGCUGAGUGGAGUUUUUGUCGAACUUAAAGUAGGCUCAGAAAGGAUACAUGUCUUCAUACAUGUAUCUCAGUUAUGCUUUCCGCUGUAAACACUGAUUAUUUCAGUUACGCCUUCCGUUGCAAACUCUGAUAAUGUUUUAGCCAAGCCCUAACGAUGCCUUUUUCCUUUUAAGGAAUAUAACGCGUAUACAAGUUCUUUGAGUACCCUUUUUAUGCGAA